CCUCCUUCCCAGGCUCAGAAAGCCUUUUAGCCCCCACAGCAUUUUCCCCACCCCUCCAACCCACCUUCUUCACCUAUUCCAUGCCCUUUCUCCCACUCCCAUCUCCUGGCAUUUCACCAACAAAACUGAGACCUCCUUCACAUAAAACUAGGAGGUAGGUGCACUAGAAUUUCCCACUAAAGCUCCCUCUCCAGUCUUUAAAACCACAAAGAAACAAAUCCUCUUCCUCUCAAGCUCCCUUCAUAGCUACAGAGAGAGAGAGAGAGAGAGAGAGAGAGAGAUGACUUCCAAACUCAGAGUUCUCUCUCACUACCUCUUUUUUCUCCUCUUCAUGAGUCAUCUCUCCAAUGGGCUAAGCUCAGGUCAUCAGGCUCUGUUGAACGAGUCGGAGGCGAUGAAGCCUGUGUUUGUGCCGGGGCAGGGGGCUUUGGUGCUGAAUGAGACCAGAAGGAGGCUCGGGAACUUCCAAAUAUGUGCUCUCUGUACCUGCUGCGGUGGCCCCAAAGGACUCUGCCUCCCUUCUCCCUGCUGCUAUGCCAUCAAUUGCAACAUACCUCAUCGACCAUUUGGCUUCUGCUCCUUUACACCCAAGGCUUGCAACUGCUUUGGAUGCCAUUACUGAUCAAGAUGUAUUCCAUCUUGUUUAUGUUUUCAGUCUCUACUUGCUUGUUCAUGAUGUUGGGAGGGGGUAAGAAACAAUGACUGCUCCCCCUCCCUAUAGUUUAUUGGAAUUGUUCUUCUGUUGGUCGCAGUGCAAGAGUAUUUUGUUAACAAUACCAUUAUUAUAAGAAGUGGACAUGUUGUAGUGGCUUGCUUGAUCAUUAUAAUUACCACCCUUCUAUGUUGGGGCCAGGGUUCUUGUGCUCAUA